GCAGGAUCUCCAAGUGAAAGCCCUGGGAUAGCUCCACGUCAUAGCCCUGAGAGAAGCCGUGGGAGGUCUAGAACUGAUAGCACAGUCCGUAUCGUUAUACUAUUUGCAAUGGUUGUUUCUGUUGGACUAAUGAUCUCCGUAGGCAUUUACAUGAAAGUAGAGAAGAGAAGGCCACAACCUAUCUCAGCGAUGCAACCUAAUAUUUUUGAGACAAUGGAAUCCUUGCAAUUCGACUGUGGCGACAUUUGAGUUGCCACAAAUAACUUUUCUGAAGCAAAUAAACUUGGAGAUGAUGAAUAUGGCGCUGUUUACAGGGGUAGUCUUUCCAACGACAAAAGCAUAGCAGUGAGGAGGCUUUCAAUAAAUUAUGUGAAAGAGUAUACGGAAAUUAAGAAAGAGGUUUUGUUAAUGGCGCCCAAGCUUCAACAUCCAAAUCUAGUUGAGCUCCUAGGGUGUGCCUUGGAAGAAAAUUCUGAAAGGCUUCUUGUCUACGAGCUUUUCCCUAACGCAACUCUUGAUCGCAUCAUAUUUGACCGAAUGCAGAGCAGACAAUGGGAUUGGGAGAUCCGGUACAACAUCAUAGUGAGCAUUGCACGGGGACUCCUUCACCUUCAUGACAGUCACUUUGUUCAUGGCGAUGUCAACGCUAGUAACAUUUUGAUAGAUGCAGAAAUGAAUCCCAAAAUUUCAAAUUUUGGCAUGGCAAGAUUCUUUGCGGUUGAUCAAAUACAUGGC